GGCAAAGAAGGGAAGGAAACAGAGAAGAGAGGGAGUUAAAAAAAAAAAUAACCCGCCUCUCCUGGCCGGCCGGAGCUAUGGCCGGGCUGCGGAGCUGCGGGCUGCUCCUCUGCCUGCUCCUGGCCCGGGCCAUGCACUACCCGGACUAUUCCUACGUGCUGGAGGAGGAGGAGGAGGAUGAAGAGCCCCUGGAGUACAAGGAUCCCUGCAAAGCCGCUGCCUUUCUGGGAGACAUCGCCCUGGAUGAGGAGGACUUGAAGCUCUUCCAGGUGGACCGGGUGGUGGACCUGGCACGCCGCACCAUCACUCGCUUGCCCACCAACUCCUCAGGUAGCAAUGCCACCAGUGCCAGCGUGCGGCCGGGCCACCAAGCACACCACCGGGGCUGGCAACGGGCACGGAGCCGCCGUGCUGCCACGUCCCGGCCAGAGAGAGUGUGGCCGGACGGGGUCAUCCCCUAUGUGAUCAGCGGCAACUUCAGCGGCAGCCAGCGAGCCAUCUUCCGGCAGGCGAUGCGGCACUGGGAGAAGCACACCUGCGUCACCUUCCUGGAGCGCAACGACGAGGACAGCUACAUUGUCUUCACCUACCGCCCCUGCGGGUGCUGUUCCUACGUGGGGCGCCGAGGAGGAGGCCCCCAGGCUAUCUCCAUUGGCAAAAACUGUGACAAAUUCGGCAUCGUGGUGCAUGAGCUGGGCCACGUCAUCGGCUUUUGGCACGAGCACACGCGUCCUGAUCGGGAUGACCAUGUCUCCAUCAUCCGGGAGAACAUUCAGCCAGGGCAGGAGUACAACUUCUUGAAGAUGGAGCCGGAGGAGGUGGAAUCGCUGGGCGAGACGUACGAUUUCGACAGCAUCAUGCACUAUGCCAGGAACACCUUCUCCAGGGGCAUCUUCCUUGACACCAUCCUGCCCAAGUACGAUGUGAACGGUGUCCGGCCCGCCAUCGGCCAGAGGACACGGCUGAGCAAAGGGGACAUCGCCCAAGCCCGCAAGCUCUACCGCUGCCCGGCCUGUGGGGAGACGCUCCAGGACAGCCAGGGCAACUUCUCCUCCCCUGAGUUCCCCAACGGAUACUCUGCCCACAUGCACUGCAUCUGGAGGAUCUCCGUCACCCCCGGAGAGAAGAUCAUCCUGAAUUUCACCACCCUGGACCUCUACCGAAGCCGGCUGUGCUGGUACGACUACGUGGAGGUGAGAGACGGGUUCUGGAGAAAGGCCACGCUGCGAGGCAGGUUCUGCGGGAACAAGCUGCCCGAACCCAUCAUCUCUACUGACAGCCGCCUCUGGGUUGAGUUUCGGAGCAGCAGCAACUGGGUGGGCAAAGGCUUCUUCGCUGUCUACGAAGCCAUCUGCGGAGGGGAUGUGAAGAAGGACAAUGGGCACAUCCAGUCCCCCAACUACCCUGAUGACUACCGGCCCAGCAAGGUGUGCGUCUGGAAGAUCACAGUCUCUGAGGGCUUCCAUGUGGGCUUGACCUUCCAGUCAUUCGAGAUUGAGCGACACGAUAGCUGCGCCUAUGACUACCUGGAGAUCCGGGACGGCAGCAGUGAGUCGAGCAGCCUCAUCGGGCGCUACUGUGGCUAUGACAAACCAGACGACAUCAAGAGCACCUCCAACAAGCUCUGGAUGAAAUUCGUCUCCGACGGCUCCAUCAACAAAGCAGGCUUCGCUGUCAACUUCUUCAAAGAAGUGGAUGAGUGCUCGCGUCCCAACAACGGCGGCUGUGAGCAGCGCUGUGUCAACACGCUGGGCAGCUACAAAUGUGCCUGCGACCCUGGCUACGAGCUGGCUUCCGACAAGCGCCGCUGCGAGGCUGCCUGCGGAGGUUUCCUCACCAAGCUCAAUGGCUCCAUCACCAGCCCGGGGUGGCCCAAGGAGUAUCCCCCAAACAAGAACUGCAUCUGGCAACUGGUGGCCCCCACCCAGUACCGCAUCUCCCUGCAGUUCGACUUCUUCGAGACUGAGGGCAAUGACGUCUGCAAAUAUGACUUUGUGGAGGUGCGCAGUGGGCUGACCGCUGACUCCAAGCUGCAUGGCAAGUUCUGUGGCGCCGAGAAGCCAGAUGUCAUCACCUCCCAGUACAACAACAUGAGGAUCGAGUUCAAGUCAGACAACACCGUCUCCAAAAAGGGCUUCAAAGCUCAUUUCUUCUCAGUUGGGUUUCACCUUCAGUUGGGUCUUGGGGAGCGUAGGGAUGGGAAUUCGGAGGAAAACACACCAUCAGCUGCAGCUGAGCAUCACCCAGAGCUAGCCCCUGGGCUGGGAGAUGCUGCAGGACCCUCGGGGAAGAGAGGGUCCUCCUCGACACAGUACCCUGGACAUCAGCGACAAACAGCACCUCUAGGACAGGCUGGGCUGGACUCAAUCACCAAUGUCUUGCACUUCCACUGCCUUUUCGCCCCAUCAAGGCUGUUUUUGAGGGGCAGCAUAGCCACUGGGCUGCAGAGAGCUGCAGAAAUCAGCAUCCCUAGGAGCUCUUGGGGUUCCCCAUGGCAGCCAAGAGCAGCAGAGACCUGUGGGCCGCGGGUGGAGUAUCUUUGCUUUAUGUUUUCAAUUAAAACCAAGGCAAGUAAGGUGGCCCAGUGGGGGCCCAGACAUCAGGAGCAAAGCAAGACCUCAGGAAAGCCCAGCGGCCGAGCAGCAGCAGGACCAUGGGUGCAGCUGGGUCUUGGGCUCUCCAGGCAGCAGGACCACUCUGGAGGACUCAGCCACACCAGAGUCCCUCCUGCGGUCCCCUCCUUGGGGUCGCUGCUGGUCCCUGGGCAAAGCAUCUCCCACGUGCGGCUUUUUUUUAGCCGCUUGAGAGUCUCUGUGCUCCUUCCCUGCUGCUCUGGACACGGAUAGACACCGAUCCCUGUCCCUCGGUGCCGCGAGCAGCCUGGCCACCUGGGCACCCAUUUUCCCCUUGGUGAAGAUGUGGCUCCUUCCUCAUCCUCCUCCUCCUCUUCAUGGGCUGGGGCGAUGGGAGGCAGCAGCUGGCUCCAUCGGCUCAGGCAGAAGGAUGCAUUCGCCCAGGAAUCCUCCGUGGUGUCAGCACCCAGAGAAGAAGCAGCAGCUGCAGCCCCCAAAAUCUCGCCCGCCUGGCGUGAAGCUUCGACCGCAGAAGCGGCCGCGGGUCCCAUCCUGAGCCACGCCGUCCUCUCCAUCUCUCUCAGGAACUCCGCGGCCAUGGGUGCCGCACAGAAGCACGCCAGGGCCGAGCCGAGUCGAGCCAAGCCGUGCAACCGGCCCUGGCAGCUCCUUGCUUGACAGAACUGGUUUUUGGCCUUAUUUUUAAUAUUUUUUUCCUUUAUUUUUUGUCUUAAGCCCCCUCCCUGUCCCAUCCCUGUUGGUUUUGGUCAUUGACCAGCUGACCUUGGUUUUUUUUUUAUCCCCCUCUCCCAAUUUUUACUGUGUCUGUGACAUUUCCCUAUCGAUGAGUAAAGAGGGACUUCCAUGUCCUGGUCUUUCUUGUGCAUCUUUUCGUUGUCACUGUGUGUUUUUCUGCCUUCCCCGUCCGUACCGUAAGCAGGUAAUGGUUCUUGUACCCAUGGGAGAGCCCAGGGAGAGAAGGACACAUCCUGUCCCCCAGCUCGGGGAAGGGAGAGGAGAACCCAUCCCAUCCCCUCGCUUGGGAAAGGGAGAGGUGGACCCAUGCCGUCCCCUGAGUCAGGGAAGGGAGAGGAGAACCCAUCUCAUCCCUUGGCUUGGGGAAGGGGAGAGGUGGACCCAUCCCAUCCCCUGGCUCAGGGAAGGGAGAGGAACUCGUCCCAACCCUUGGCUCGGGGAAGGGAGAGGAGAACCCAUCCCAACCCUUGGCUUGGGGAAGGGAGAGGGGAACCUAUCCCAACCCUUGGCUCGGGGAAGAGAGAGGAGAACCUAUCCCAAUCCUUGGCUCAGGGAAGGGAGAGAGGGACCCAUCCCAUCCUCUGGCUUGGGAAAGGGAUGGGGGAUCUGCUUGCUGCUGGCCUUAGGCACUUGCUUGGCUCCCCCAGGGCAGCGGCGUGGGGCUGGCGACCAGCACGCACCGAGCGGGGCUGUUUCAUGCGGGGCUGGGAUGCCAUGCUGGGAUGCCGGCUGCUGGGUUUUCCUGUCCCACUCAACCAUGUUGCCUCUGCUCUCU